GGGUCGUUAGCUCAGCUGGUAGAGCAGCGGACUCUUAAUCCGUUGGUCGCAGGUUCGAUCCCCGCACGGCCUACCA
rnacentral:tRNA from 1 species